GGUAUGCAAUAAUGUUUAGAGGGGUAAAGGGGUUGGAAACAAUUUUUUGUGUAGAGCUAAGACCUUCCCCAUCGGCUGGUUCAUAGGGAAGUUCUUAGCAUUUUGGUCCAAAAAAAUAAAUCAGAACAAAAGAAAAAAUUUAAGAGAUUCCCUUAUAUAGUAUACUCAUUUCUGUUCAUGGUAUUGGUCUAACAAAAAAAAUAGAAAAGGGGAAAAAAAAUUAUUUGGAUCGCAUAUCACUCUUUCCUUCUCUCUCUCUCUUUCUCUCGCGACUGCGAAAAAACGAAGAUUUGUAUUUGGAAUCGAAGGGUGUGGAGGAAGAGGAGAUUGCGGUCGGAGGAGAUGCUCAUCAUCGUGAAUUGAUGACUCGGCCGUGUCCCAUCGCGAUAGAUUAAAUAGGAAGAGUUUGAAUCAAUUGGAAUCCCAAGGUGGGCAAUUGUAUAUAUUGCACAGAUGAAUCCUCUGAUUGUCCCCAUCUUAAGCGAAACAGAGUAGAAUCCUCUACUCAUACAAGAGAACCUCAAACUAGAGUUCCAGUCGUGUUUCUAAUUCUUUUACCUUGGUGUGAACAAAUCAAAAACCUGUUGGCCACUUUUACUAUUUCGAGAUUUUGUUGUAUUCACUUCUCAUUCAUUCCCCAAAACGAAACUGAAUCUCCCUUUUGAGGUUACUAUAUCCCACAAUGUAUUAAUGUUUUUUAUUAUGUUUUAUAUGUUUACAAAUUAAUUAAAUGCAAUAUUUUCCUAUU